UUCCAGACUCCUACGGGAGGCAGCAGUGAGGGAUAUUGGCCAAUGGACGGAAGUCUGAACCAGCCAUGCCGCGUGCAGGAAGACGGCUCUAUGAGUUGUAAACUGCUUUUGUACAAGGGUAAACCUGAAUACGUGUAUUCAGCUGAAAGUACUGUACGAAUAAGGAUCGGCUAACUCCGUGCCAGCAGCCGCGGUAAUAUGGAGGAUCCAAGCGUUAUCCGGAUUUAUUGGGUUUAAAGGGUGCGUAGGCGGUUUGAUAAGUUAGAGGUGAAAUGUCGGGGCUCAACCCCGAAACUGCCUCUAAUACUGUUGGACUAGAGAAUAGUUGCGGUAGGCGGAAUGUAUGGUGUAGCGGUGAAAUGCUUAGAGAUCAUACAGAACACCGAUUGCGAAGGCAGCUUACCAGACUAUAUCUGACGUUGAGGCACGAAAGCGUGGGUAGCAAACAGGAUUAGAUACCCGCGUAA
rnacentral:rRNA from 1 species